GUAGUCUUUGAGACUCUGCACACAGCACAAAUGUUCUCUUUCUGAAUUCUUCAAACGUCUCAGCCUUCAUUAGCCAGGAUCCAACAAAAUAGAAAACCACUACCGCCACCCUGCAGAACAUACUUGAAACUUCUUUUCCCUUUCAUGAAAAAAGAUGUAAACACGAAGGGGUUCGUGGAGACCACAAAUAAAACCAAUGAGAAUCCGCCGUCUCUGCAUAGACACCCAGCCAGCAUACAUACAGGACAGGCUCUAAAGCUUUCAACAGUAGAGUAAAUGACACUAGAGGAAUAGUGGUCAUUCCUGUUUGGAAUCUCAGUCCUGAAGCAGAGCAGAACGGGGAUAAUGGGAGAAAUAUUGCUACGUCCUUUGCUGUCACUGAAGCAAGAAAAACCGCUACUGCCCUUCAGAAAGAUUUUGACAGGACAGAAUAUUCUUCUUUUUUUUUUCUUUGCAUUCCAGAUAAUUGAAUUUCUUUUUUCAUCUGCC
rnacentral:lncRNA from 1 species